CACCCAGCGUGCCAGAGUUCCCGUGGAUACUGGUUGAUGAGGUUUCCUCACUGCUAAGAACAGAUCAUGUGUGGUUGGGUUCCGAAAUGACUGGGUCCGCAAUUCGUAUUCCCACAGGCAUGCCACCGGGCAGAGGUUAGCGUUGUGAGGAAAGGAGGGAUAGAAGACUGAAGUGAUUUUCGACUUUGUACGUCUGGUGAUAUUAAAUAGGACACCAUCCGGCGUGAAUGAUCG